GUGGCGCACGGGUGAGUAAUGUAUAGGUAAUAUGCCUCUUACUAAGGGAUAACAAAUGGAAACGUUUGCUAAUACCUUAUACUCCUUAUUAACCUAAGUUAAUAAGGGAAAGAUUUAUUGGUAAGAGAUUAGCCUGUAUUGUAUCAGUUAGUUGGUGGGGUAAUGGCCUACCAAGACUAUGACACAUAACUGGUUUGAGAGGAUGAUCAGUCACACUGGAACUGAGACACGGUCCAGACUCCUACGGGAGGCAGCAGUGGGGAAUAUUGCACAAUGGACGAAAGUCUGAUGCAGCAACGCCGCGUGGAGGAUGACACAUUUCGGUGCGUAAACUCCUUUUAUAUGAGAAGAUAAUGACGGUAUUAUAUGAGUAAGCACCGGCUAACUCCGUGCCAGCAGCCGCGGUAAUACGGGGGGUGCAAGCGUUACUCGGAAUCACUGGGCGUAAAGAGCAUGUAGGCGGAUUAAUAAGUUUGAAGUGAAAUCCUAUA
rnacentral:rRNA from 1 species